GGGGAUUUAGCUCAGUGGUAGAGCGCUUGCCUAGCAAGUGUAAGGGCCUGGGUUCAGUCCCCA
rnacentral:tRNA from 1 species